rnacentral:rRNA from 1 species
CCUACGGGAGGCAGCAGUGGGGAAUAUUGCACAAUGGGCGCAAGCCUGAUGCAGCCAUGCCGCGUGUAUGAAGAAGGCCUUAGGGUUGUAAAGUACGUUCAGUUGGGAGGAAGGCGUUGAUGCUAAUAUCAUCAACGAUUGACGUUACCAACAGAAGAAGCACCGGCUAACUGCGAGCCCGCUGCCGCGGUAAUACGGAGGGUGCAAGCGUUAAUCGGAAUUACUGGGCGUAAAGCGCACGCAGGCGGUUGAUUAAGUUAGAUGUGAAAUCCCCGGGCUUAACCUGGGAAUGGCAUCUAAGACUGGUCAGCUAGAGUCUUGUAGACGGGGGUAGAAUUCCAUGUGUAGCGGUGAAAUGCGUAGAGAUGUGGAGGAAUACCGGUGGCGAAGGCGGCCCCCUGGACAAAGACUGACGCUCACGUUCGAAAGCGAGGGGAGCAAACAGGAUUAGAUACCCCUGUAGUC